AAGAGGAGAGAGCCGCCCAAGGUAUGGCCGAUGAUUGGGGUGAAGUCGUAACAAGGUAGCCGUUAGGGGAACCUGCGGCUGGAUCACCUCCUUUCUAGGAGAGAAGGGUCCUGGAUGAAGCGCUCCUAUUUUAGUCUUGUGAAGGAUCCGAGUGGAAGCCGGGACCGGAGAGAUACCGGGCCUGUAGCUCAGAUGGUGAGAGCGCACGCCUAGAUAAGCGUGAGGUCGAUAGUUCGAAUCUAUCCAGGCCCACCAUCUGCGGGGAUGUAGCUCAGUUGGGAGAGCG
rnacentral:rRNA from 1 species